AACGAACGCUGGCGGCAGGCUUAACACAUGCAAGUCGAGCGAGACCUUCGGGUCUAGCGGCGGACGGGUGAGUAACGCGUGGGAACGUGCCCUUCUCUACGGAAUAGCCCCGGGAAACUGGGAGUAAUACCGUAUACGCCCUUUGGGGGAAAGAUUUAUCGGAGAAGGAUCGGCCCGCGUUGGAUUAGGUAGUUGGUGGGGUAAUGGCCCACCAAGCCGACGAUCCAUAGCUGGUUUGAGAGGAUGAUCAGCCACACUGGGACUGAGACACGGCCCAGACUCCUACGGGAGGCAGCAGUGGGGAAUCUUAGACAAUGGGGGCAACCCUGAUCUAGCCAGGCCGCGUGAGUGAUGAAGGCCUUAGGGUUGUAAAGCUCUUUCAGCUGGGAAGAUAAUGACGGUACCAGCAGAAGAAGCCCCGGCUAACUCCGU
rnacentral:rRNA from 1 species